AGGUUGGCUGGAGGAAACGGAGAGAAAAUUUACAACUGGUGGAGCAUAAAGAAACCAGCUAGAGGACUGGCCUUGUCAUUAUCUAACUAUGUUGUGACGAACUGGCACUUCCUCAUCUCUAAAAGCAGGGCCCUGAACUAGAAGACCGUCACGUCACAUGAUGAAAAACACUGAAACUAACACUUCUUACCCUUGUGAGCAGCCCUACUAGCAGAUUUAAUGUGGGAGGAGGUUCACACUACGGGAUAAAAAUCAAGUUUUAGGAUUCCAUUUUAUCUAAGCUGACCACCACAAGGCAGAGGAUCAAGACUUAGCUAAAUACAGCCCUCAGGCAAGCUUCACUUCCCCAUCUGUGAAGGGAGAAUAAAUAUAGCAUACACAUGUUAAGAUAAAUGAGAGAGCUGGUCAAGUGUUUCGAGCUCUUCGGCAGACAAGCCUGACUUUCCAAAAAAAGACAAACCACAACUUCGGAGCCAGUGCUAUUUCUUCUGUGCAUAGUGAGGUGACUUCCCCAGUUGUAAAGGAUUUAGAGCUGAAAUUCCAUAUUGUCUGGAGCUAUAAUUACAAGUCUCUUGCACUAAAACAGAGGUCAGCUGGCCUAAAGCAUGCUGAAAGAAGGUAAAUGUCUGGUCACAUUUCCAUGUGGUAUACUCCUUUCCUAACUUUUUGGCACAAAUUUCACGUUGAUAGAAUAUU
rnacentral:lncRNA from 1 species